AUUGAACGCUGGCGGUAGGCCUAACACAUGCAAGUCGAACGGCAGCACAGUAAGAGCUUGCUCUUACGGGUGGCGAGUGGCGGACGGGUGAGGAAUACAUCGGAAUCUACUUUUUCGAGGGGGAUAAAGUAGGGAAACAUACGCUAAUACCGCAUACGACCUACGGGUGAAAGCAGGGGAUCUUCGGACCUUGCGCGAUUGAAUGAGCCGAUGUCGGAUUAGCUAGUUGGCGGGGUAAAGGCCCACCAAGGCGACGAUCCGUAGCUGGUCUGAGAGGAUGAUCAGCCACACUGGAACUGAGACACGGUCCAGACUCCUACGGGAGGCAGCAGUGGGGAAUAUUGGACAAUGGGCGCAAGCCUGAUCCAGCCAUACCGCGUGUGUGAAGAAGGCCUUCGGGUUGUAAAGCCCUUUUGUUGGGAAAGAAAAGCAGCAGGUUAAUACCCCGCUGUUCUGACGGUACCCAAAGAAUAAGCACCGGCUAACUUCGUG
rnacentral:rRNA from 1 species